GGGUGCAUGGUCUAGUGGUAUGAUUUUCGCUUCGCAUUGACCUUGAGAUGCGCCUUGUGAAAGGUCCCCGGUUCGAUCCCGGGUGCAUCCA
rnacentral:tRNA from 1 species